rnacentral:lncRNA from 1 species
UGUGAUACAUAGAAGAUUAAGUAGAAGGGAAGAGAAGCUACAUUCCUCUCCAACUGAAUUCCACAAUCAGAUCUGGUAUACAAUCUCUCAUAUGCUUUAGACUGUUGACAAUCAACAAAAGAUAAAAGAAGAAUGUAAUAACUACCUUUACUAUGCAAAACCAGUGGCCACAACAUAAACUUGUCACCUUCGUCUCUGUUAGUAUAUGGUAGUAUAAUGUGGCAAGUGAUUGAAUCAUCAAUCCAAGAAUCUGACGUCUGAACCUUGAACUGACUGACUUAAGCAGAUUCCAAAACCAUAUGCAGAGCCUUACCAGAUCAAGGAAACCAAUUAUGUUAUUGAUAAUAAUAUUACAUGUCAUUAAAGCUUACAAAGUGCAUGUACCAGAUUUUUCACCAACAGAUGAUAUAUCAUCUAACUUGAAUAAUAAAUUAUACAAAGAUCAAUUUUCAAAAACCAAAAUUUGUUUAGAUGUGAAAAGUCCUAAGAAAAUAGAUAACUACAACCAAGUUUCGGUGACUUAAAACCGAUUCCUAUGCCAGCUGGCAGUACGAGUCGAUAUGCUCCCGUACCAAACCAUAUUGGACUCGAACCAAUAAAAAAAUGAGGGAGAACCGAGAAGGAAAAGAAAGAGAGAUAAAGAGGGGAGGGAGGGGGAGGGAGAGGGAGAGAAGGAAAGGAACGCUAGCAGAUAUACUGACAGUGGCCAUCGAAGGGCUAUCGAGAACUCUGAGGCUUCGCAAUCCUCAAUGAGAGGAGAUUAGAGAGAGAUAGAGAGAAAGGGGGAAGGGAGACAAAUGGAGGGAGGAGAAGGCGGCGAGGAGUCAUCAAAGGGCCACCGCAUAACCGCUGUGGCCGUCGGACGGCCAAAAUCGACCCUACAAUGCCGCAGGUUUGAAACAAGGCCGAUAUGCCCUUGUUCAUCGCCACCUUCCCCUCUCUCUAUUUCUCUCCCUCCCCAAUGCCGUCCCCCCCCCCCCGCUCUCCCCCUAACUCUCUCUCUUUGAUCUCCUUUCAUGGAGGCUUGUGGAGCCCUGGACGCCUUGGCAGUCCUCCGACAGCAGCGAGCUACCGCUGGCCACCACCGAUCUUUCCCUCUCCUUCACUCAUCUCCUUUCUCUCUUCCUCUCUUUCUGAUGAGAAUCGAAAAUUCUGCACCUAUUUUAGUCGAAACGUUGUAAUUUAAGAAUUAUAGGAUUUUGAAUAAUUGAAAAUUUUUACUUUAUUUUCAUCUUAGAGAAAUUUUAUUUUAUUUCCAUCUUAGAGAGAUUUUAUUUUGUUUCUAUCUUAUAUGAGAGAUUUUAUCUCAUUUCCAUCUUAAAGAGAUUUUACUUUGUUUUCAUCUUAUAUGAGAGAUUUUAUAUCAUUUUCACAUUGAGAGAAAAUCUUGUCUCCAUCUUAGAGAGAUUUUAUCUUGUUUCUACCUUAUUUGAGAGAUUUUAUCUUAUUUCCAUUUUAAAGGGAUAUGAUUUCCAGUUUUAUUAGGAUAUGAUUUUAUUUCCAUCUUAUUUGAGAGUCUAUUUAAAGACUCCUAUUGUAUUGAAGGAGACAACUUGGAACGACAAUUUAAAAAUUCUAAAGUGGGCUAUUUUUCUUUCUCUUAACUUCUUUAUUUUUCUUUGGCUGUUUUUUCUUCUUCUUGAUUUCUUUAUUUUUCUUUCAUUUUAUUUUUCUUUCCUAUUUGCUAUCUUGAUUUUUUUUUGUGCCGCUUAAAUUGGUAUUAAAACCCUGUCAGAUCAAUUUCUACGCACCAUGCAAAUUGCUCCGAGGUAAUUAGUAUCGUCUCGUAUAAGGUACGGUUCCUUCAUUAAAUCUCAUGACUUCUUCAAAUUGUGGGUAGCUUCUACGAAUGUUUAGGUCUUUUCUUUAUUUCAUAUUUCCUUAAAAAAACCAAGAAGAAUCAGAAUCAUUUGGUUGGCUUCAUUUUGUUCACUUUUUGUUUUAGUAGCUCAAUUAUAUCACAUCACCUCUUUGAUAUUGCACGAGUUAGAAACAUAGGCACUGCAUUUGACUUUACAUUCCUUAUUGUGAGCAUUGUGGUUGAAUUUCUCGAUGAUUAUAGCAUAUAUCACUUUUGUCCUUGCCCUUGCUACCAUGACCAUUGGCAAUUUGAAAGAUGCUUAUUCCAUCAUAAAAAAAGAGCUUGAAUCAGUUAAAAAUACCUAGACCAUAUUCCAAAAGACUUUAAACCAAAUAUGCUAGUCAUUAGACCGACUUCAGACUGAGCUUAAUGAGCUUUGUACUAAUCAGGUUGAUUACCGCAUGGACAUCGCUAAUCUCAUCGAUCAACAGAUCGAACGCCAACUGUCCCUGAGAGAGUCAAGACUGGAUAAAUAUUCUAUAGAAGAUGACCAUGCUAGUAGUCAACCCAUUCAUCAAUCUUUUCUCUAGACUCUUAAGCCAACCGAUAGUCCGAAUCAUGUCUUGCAGACUAGUCAGUCCUUUCAGAUACUUCCAAUUACCUACCAUUGCAUAAAUAAUUUUCAAAAUCCUCAUAAUCGUAAGGCUCCUCCAGUUUACAUAGCAAAAGCUAAGGAUGAUGAGUACCAUGGAAAUGACUAUGAGGGAGAAGUGGAACCACCUAUUUCCCCAUCUAGAUGUCAUGAGCAACCUACUAGGUAUGCUAGAGGUCCUAGGCACUUUAGACCCUAAGAUCAACAACUUAGGCCGUAUCCACCUAGAUGUGAGGAGUUUGAAGAAUCACCUAAAGGAGUUAAGAUUGAUGUCGCUUCCUACAAUGGUAGGUUAGACCCAGAUGCAUUCUAUGAUUGCUUACAGGACCUAGAGGCUUAUUUUGAGUGGUACCACAUGUCAGAUGCAUCUCGUGUCCACUUUGCUAAAAUGAAGCUUGUAGAUUUUGCCAAGAGGUAUUGGUAGAUAACUCAAAGGGAUCUAGAACGAUUAGGACAUCUACCUAUAGUCCUUUGGAAGGAGAUGAAGUCAAUUUUGUGAGAAGUAUGUUCCCACUUACUACAAGAGUCAGUUAUUGGACCAAUGGUAUACUCUUAGAUAAGGAACCAUUAGUGUCACUGACUAUAUGGCUCGUUUUGAGGAUUUACAAUUAAGGUGUGAUGUUUCUGAAGAGCUAUAGAAGCUGGUAUCUAUGUUUGUUAGUGGUCUAAGAGUCGGCUUGAAAAGAGAGGUUUCUUUGUAUUCUCCUAAAUCUGUAGGGGAUGCCUACCACAAAUCCUUAGAGAUUGAGAAGUUUCAUAGGACUUUCCCUCAAAGAAGAGGAGUUUCCUUUUUCGAUGAAUCUAGAUAGUCUAGGUCUACCUUUGUCAAUCGCACUAAGGAUAUUUCACAGCUAUUGCCUUCUCAUACGAAUCAUAGUCCUACCUCAAGUAUGACUGCUAAUCAGCAACCCACAAUCAUUAGGAUCUGAGACUUUGCCCCAAUGAUAUCUCAUUCAGUUAGUUCUUCAAAUAUAGAGUGCCAUUAUUGUCAUAAUAAGGGCCAUAUAGCUGCUCGAUGUCCACAUCAUACAUUGACCAUAAGAAUUGAAGGUGAGGAAACUUCACAUGAUGGCUCCAUAGGAGACUUUAACCCUCUAGUGCCAACUACUUCAGAGGAAGAGUAUGAGGAGAAUUGUGAGGAUUUAGGAGAGCAUGUUCAUGUCAUAAGAUGUACCAUCACCACUCCUGCAGAUUCUGAGGCAUGGAAACACACCAGCAUUUUUCAUACGUAUGCCCAAUGUGGGAAUAAAAUCUGUAAGCUUGUCAUCAGUGGGGGUAGUUUCAUGAAUGUUGCGUCUAAGUCUACCAUUAGUAGAUUGAAGCUCAAGUUUCAGCCUCAUCCUCAUCCUUAUAAAGUUGUCUAGGUAGAUAAAACUUUACUUUCUGUUAGUGAGUGUUGUCUAUUGCCAAUUCAAAUGGGAGGUUACUUUGAGAUUAUGUGUGAUGUAUUAUCCAUGGAGGUUGCUAGUGUCUUGUUAGAUCAACCUUGGAUUUAUGAUAUAGAUGCUCAUAACUUUGGUAGGAAGAAUACCUAUGUUUUCAUGCAUAAUGGUAAGAAAAUUAGGUUAAAUCCUGCUAAGUCUAGUGAGUCCCAACCUGCAAAAAGGGAUGAGAGUCCUCUUCAAACCUUUAGUCAGAAAAACUAUCACAUCUUAACUCAUAGAAAAUUUGAAAAAGAGAGUUGGAAGCCUGAAGUAAUGUUAGCUGCUAUUCCUAGAGGUGAGAUCCACUUGACUUCGAACUCUCAAGAUAACCCACCUCCUAAGAUUGAGCAAUUGAUGAAGGAGUUUAAGGAUGUGACCCUAGAGGACAUACCAGAUGGUCAAACAGAGAUUGUAAACCAUAACCUUGAUGAUUUACUUAAGUGUCCGAUUGGCGAUAGAUCUGGUACAUGGGAUUUGUCAUUGCCUACGAUGGAAUUUGCCUAUAACAGCGUAGUGAAUCGAUCUACUGACAAGAAUCCUUUUGAAAUUAUUUAUGGCCUUAAUCCUCGUCAACCCAUUGAUCUUGUUCCUUUACCUAUGGACAACUGUAUUUUUGAGCCUGCCACCUCUUUUACUCAACAUAUUCAUGAUAUUCAUGCCAAUAUUCGGCAAAAAAUUAUCAUGAGCACUUAGAAAUAUAAACUUGCUGCUGAUGCUUAUCGUAGGAACGUAGAAUUUGAUGUGGGUGACUAUAUGAUGGCUCGUAUUCAUCCAGAAUAUUAUCCUAAAUAUUUGUUCAAAAAAUUGCAUACUCGAGCUAUUGGUCCCUUUUCCAUCCUUCGUAAACUUGGACCUAAUGCUUAUUAUUUAGAGUUACCUUCUAAUUUGAAGUUUAGUCCAAUUUUCAAUGUUGCGAACUUAUUUUCUUAUCAAGACAUAUUCAAGCCUUCUACUGUGUCUGCAGGUGUUCCUACUGAUUGCAUUACUUCAUCUUCAAUGUCAGUCCCAGUUCUCCCUCUACUUUCAUCAUCCUCAUCAGACCGCAUUGAGCGCAUUAUCACUGACGAGGUUGUUGCUUCUGCUUAUGGUGGAUUUCAAAGAUUUUUGGUUAAGUGGCAAGGCCGAUUGGAUUCAGAUGCUACUUGGAUUCAUGAGGAUGAGUUACACCGCAUUGAUCCAGAUCUACUAGAGGCCUAUCGUAAUUUUUCGUCAGAGGUGAGUUCUUUCUAGCCAAGAGGAAAUGAUGAGAAUCGAAAAUUCUGUACCUAUUUUAGGUGGAGACAUCAUAAUUUAAAAAUUAUGAGAUUUUGAAUAAUUAAGAGAUUUUACCUUGUUUCCAUCUUAAAGAAAUUUUAUCUUAUUUUUAUCUUAGAGAGAUUUUAUCUCGUUUUCAUCUUAGAGAGAUUUUAUUUUGUUUCCAUCUUAUAUGAGAGAUUUUAUCUCAUUUCCAUAUUGAGAGAAAAUCUUGUUUCCAUCUUAAAAAGAUUUUAUCUUGUUUCCAUCUUAUUUGAGAGAUUUUAUCUUGUUUCCAUCUUAGAAAGAUAUAAUUUCUACUUAUUCGGAUAUAAUUUUAUUUCCAUCUUAUUUGAGAGUCUAUUUAAAGACUUCUAUUCUACUGAAGAAGAUAGCUUGGAAUGACAACUUGAAAAUUCUAAACUUGGUUGUUUUUCUUUCUUUUAACUUCUUUAUUUUCCUUUAGCUGUUUUUUCUUCCUCUUGAUUUCUUUAUUUUUCUCUCAUUUUAUUUUCCUUUCCUAUUUGCUAUCUCGAUUUUUCUAGGUGCUGCAUCACUUUCCUUCGUCUUCACUUUAUUUCACUAACAUUCCGAAUCGAACACCUGAACCGCAUCGAUUGGCUGCCAAUAUGGAUUGGUACACCCCAAACUGGAUAGCUCGAGGUGGUUCAGCAUUCCAUGACUACAAUAGUUAUGGCCUCAACAAUAUGCGGUAGCCUCGAACAAAAAACCCAAGAUUUUUAGAAUUGAAAUAAAAGAUGUAUUUCUUUAUCAAGGAAAUGAGAAGGCCAAUGUAUGCUUGAGAGUAUCCUCACAUCAGAACAGCAUGCUUUUGGGCUUCAACUUGACUAGUUAAAGCGCAUAUUGAUAGACAAAUAUCAAAGCUCAUGGGCUUGAGGAUGCAAAAGCUACUCCAAAAACUAACACAUGAUGAACUAAGUCACCACCAUAAGUUAACUCUAAGUUAAGUGCAGUUGAAGAGAAAUGAGACAAAGGGAAGGCAAAACAACAGUAAGGAAAAGAAAUAUAAGCGGUGCUUUUAAAAGGUAGGUGCACAGGCAAUAUUCGAUAUGCAAGCUGCAUAUGUGGGUACAUGUGCAGUUACUUUUUUAAUUGUUUAAAAAUAAAUAUAAUACAUUAAUAAAAUAAUUAUAACAACUAUAGAAAUAAUUUCUUUGAUGGGUAACAGCUAUAUUAAUAACAACAACAACUAACACUAGGUGCUUAUUGCUUACUACCUAAUAUCUAUGAGCAAUAAUUAUAAUAAAACCACAUUGUAAUAUUAUUACUCAUCAUAUCAAGUCCACCUGAAACCCACAUCAAAUGUAACCAUCAGCUUGAACCCACUUCAUUUGCAUGUGCCCAUAUAAGAGUGGGUGAUAUAUGUUGCUCUUGAAUGUUAAGGAGCCUCACUUAUGCAGCCAUACAAUACAAAAUAACUUAAAUAUUUGGUCAUGCAAUUCAAAUUUGACUAUCUUUUUGGUCCAUUUAUUGUAUGAACAUAUAUAGUAACUGCAUAUAGGCAACCGGUGUGGUCAAUGGACCGCUACACAUAUGCGGGCACAUAUGUGGACAUAUACACUGCAUUUUAGAACACUUGAAUAUAAGAAACAAAAUUCCUUUCGAUUUAGAAUGAAAAUCGAAUGGUAGUUCUUAUUUUUGGAGUAAAUAUUAGAAAGAAAGUUUAACAAUAGUAAGAUUUAUAGUCAUUUAUAUUGAUGAUAUCCAGAUCUGUUAGUUCUGUUAUGGAGAUUACUUAACACACUUACAGCAAGUUCUACAAAACCUUUAGAAACAAAAGAUAAGCACAUCGAUCUCAUGAAAUAUAUGUCAUCAUACACCUAAUGAUUCUCGGAUAAUAAGUCAGAUGAAGUCAAAGCAGUGAAAGUGAAUUCAACAUCAUGGCUCUAUAUAACAAGUAAUGGUGAAUCUAAAGUUUCAAUUGGUCAGCUUUGAAAGCUAGUCCAAUUAUAAUAGCUCCCAAAACAAAUUGUAUUAUAUAGGAUACUCUCUGGUUGGUUUAACAUUAAGGAUAAGAAUUAUUUGUUCUGAAUCUAUUUUACCAAGUGAAAUAUGAUCUGAAAUUCAUUACAGUAAGAUGAAACUAUGAGGGAGGAAAAAUAAAUGAAAAAAAGGAACUCAUAAAACAAGAUGAAAGGAAUACAUUGGAGGAACCUGUUUUCCAAAGUUCCAUGCAAUAAACUUACCAAAGCAGACAAUAGGUACAUGUACAUCUCAUACAUGUACUAGUACCAAAAAAGGACCCAUUUGAAAAAUGGAAAGGAAAAAAAAAGGACCAUUUGAGAAAUGGGAACAAAAAAAAAAAGAAAUAAGUAAAAACACAUGGAACCAAUGCCUCUGACAAAGAACUGCUAUUUAGAAGCAGAAGAAAGGAGGGGAUAAGUCUAUCCUGCUUUUAAGAAAGGCAAAUCAGGCCUCUCUGUGACAUAUAACAUCUAUUUGAAGGUUUGGAUAACAGCCAGCGAUUUGCGAUUGUCUCGUUAGAACUGCCAUGAAAUAACAAGAACAACAGCUGUUAUUUGACAUCCUCACUGUUCAUCUAGUAAUUUAGUUUCUUAAGAUUCAGAAAUCUCUAUGCCAGCUGAAAAAAUAAUUUCCUAAGAACUCCAGUGACUAGAUUCUCCUCCUAUUUCUUCUUUUCCUUUUUUUUCCUUUUCUGUCUGUGUGUGUCACCGAUCAGCUAAUUGGGUAGACAGAUAAAAUGACCUAGUUUUUUUCCUUUUCAGAUUGGUACAAGAACUAGGUUUGAUAAUUACAUUAAAAUACAGAAUAUUUGAAGUACCACGAUUUAUUACAACAGGCAAAUGAUUAUUUCUCAAGUAGAGAGUAAUCAAGGAAGUGCAACAUUCUAUUCAUGCACCAACUAGUAUAUGAACACAAAUCCGACAAUAAAAAUCCAAUCUUUGCAAGAGAACAAUUAUUUGGUAGUUAGUAAUCAUUAUAUCUACAAGUUUUUCCUGCAGCAUUUCCCAUUUUACCUCCUGUCUCCUAGUAAUAGAGCCUUUUCGCUCCAUAGUUCAUAAUGUGAAGAAACUCCAGCAGUCUUGUGACAUACAUAAGCACGUUAAACUCAUCACUACAAACCCUAAUAAAAUCAAAGAGAGGAUCCUGCACGCCCCACGACUGACUUUUUCUCCCUCUCAGCGAAAGCGGAAGCCAACACGGCAUCCGUCGGCAGAAAGAGUUUGCACGGUUUACCCAAGAUUCACCGCGGCGGAGCUCUCAUUCUCUUUUUCACAAGCCAAUCGCCACCCUCUCCACCACCGGAAAUCUCCUGGCAAAAAUGAAUAAAAUCCGAUCUGGAAUUCAGCAAAGAGGUGAGAAUCUAAAGAAAUAAAAGAUUUGGAUUUGGGGAUACCUGGAGAAGACGACGGCAUCUUGGGGUGGAGGAUCCAGAGCUGCAGCAUCUUGCAAACUUGCAUAGAUCCCGAGAGAGAGAGAGAGAGGGGCAUGGAAACAGGGUAGCGCAUAAGUUUGCAUGGAACGAACCCAAGAGACGGCUCACGAGGACAAGCGCUUGCGAUGAGAACAAAUGGAUAUGGCAUCAAUAUUAUAUUCAGUAUUGUUUGCUUUCUUUAAUGUACCCAUUUAUUUAUUUUUUUUAUUUAUUUAUUUAUUUAUUUAUUUAUUUAUGUAUUUAGUUAUUUAUUUAUUUAUUUUAUUUAUUUAUUUAUUUAUGUAUUUUUGUGUAUUU